rnacentral:SRP_RNA from 1 species
GCUGGGCAUGGUGGUGAGUGCCUGUAGUCCUAGCUACUUGGGAGGCUGUGGCAGGAGGAUCACUUGAGCCCAGGAGUUCAAGGUUACAGUGAGCUAUGAUUGCACCACUGCACUCCAGCCUGGGUGACAAAGUGAGACCCUGUCUCUA